rnacentral:tRNA from 1 species
UGCGACAUGCCAGAUAAAUGGGAAAUGUUGAUAAUAUUUUUAUGUGUUUUACACUGUCGCAU